AUGGGCCUGUCCAUUUUUAGAUCAACGGGCCGAAUCGUCACCCCCUUGUGAAGUUGAGACAUAAACCCUAGUCAGAUACCGAGGAGCUCCUCCGUUCCCUAAUUGAGAAGGUUGGAGAUGUUCAACCGAAGAAGGUUCCUGUCACUGCCCAUGGUCGUUGGAGCAGUCUUAAUUGGAGUUGUUAGUGGGAAGGCAAUAUUUGGACCUCCACUUGAUGAAUACUGGAAAAAGAAGCUUCAGGAAGACGCAGCUGCAAAGGAGACCGAUGCAGGCUCCAGUUAGCAAAUUUUCUGCUAAUUUGCCCACCAACACGUCAAGCAAGUCACCAUGCCAUAGCCAACUGGCAAAGGGAUGAGGAGAGACCAGCGUAGCCUACUCGCCAACAGUUGAGGGGAAUAGAAAGCGUGAGCCAAAGGAUGAUGUGUAGUAAUACACAGACAAGAGUGAAACAGAGAGCCUUUUGGGAUAAUGCAAAGCUUUGAUCAUCAUUCUUUUAGGGCACGUUUAUCUCACGGGAAUAAUUAAGUGGUACAAAAAUUAUGCAAAAAUAUUAUAAAUUUUUUAGAAAGUAUUCUUUUUAAAGUUUGUGAUAUUUCAUGCAAUUUGGAAUAGGAUAGAAAUAAAUAUUUUCAUGGUGAAAUUGAAGAACUGUGUUGUGUAUUAAUAACAUUUACAUUAUUGUCAACA